rnacentral:rRNA from 1 species
AACUACCCAUGCCGCGUGUGUGAUGAAGGUCUUAGGAUCGUAAAGCACUUUCGCCAGGGAUGAUAAUGACAGUACCUGGUAAAGAAACCCCGGCUAACUCCGUGCCAGCAGCCGCGGUAAUACGGAGGGGGUUAGCGUUGUUCGGAAUUACUGGGCGUAAAGCGUACGUAGGCGGAUCAGAAAGUUGGGGGUGAAAUCCCGGGGCUCAACCCCGGAACUGCCUCCAAAACUCCUGGUCUUGAGUUCGAGAGAGGUGAGUGGAAUUCCAAGUGUAGAGGUGAAAUUCGUAGAUAUUUGGAGGAACACCAGUGGCGAAGGCGGCUCACUGGCUCGAUACUGACGCUGAGGUACGAAAGUGUGGGGAGCAAACAGGAUUAGAUACCCUGGUAGUCCACACCGUAAACGAUGAAUGCCAGUCGUCGGGCAGUAUACUG